GAACCCGGGAGAGCCGGGUCUGUCUGACUCCCGCGCAGCAGGGCCCGCCGGCCGCCGGGGAGGGUCGCCGGCAGCUGGGAGCGUCCGCCCGUCCUCCCGCCGCCCGCCCCGCCCAGGCUGGGCUGAGGGCAGGAGGCGGCCUCGCUCAGCGAGGAAGAAGCCGUUUGAAGUUCUAAGGAAGAGCGCGGUUGGGAGCAGGGCGCCAGCAGGGACGCGCGGGGCGGAUCGGCACCUCGCGGGCACCGGGUCCGAGCAGCCCGAGACAGGCUCCCGGAAAACCAGGAGCGGCGGGGCGCUGGCGGGCGCCUCUGGGGCCGGCCCGAGGGCAGCGGGGAGGCCGAGGGGAUCAUUAUUGUUCACUAAACCGCUUCACUGUAAA